CGCUAGAGAUAGCUUAGUGCCUUCGGGAACUCUGAGACAGGUGCUGCAUGGCUGUCGUCAGCUCGUGUUGUGAAAUGUUGGGUUAAGUCCCGCAACGAGCGCAACCCUUAUCCUUUGUUGCCAGCGAGUAAUGUCGGGAACUCAAAGGAGACUGCCGGUGAUAAACCGGAGGAAGGUGGGGAUGACGUCAAGUCAUCAUGGCCCUUACGAGUAGGGCUACACACGUGCUACAAUGGCAUAUACAAAGAGAAGCGAACUCGCGAGAGCAAGCGGACCUCAUAAAGUAUGUCGUAGUCCGGAUUGGAGUCUGCAACUCGACUCCAUGAAGUCGGAAUCGCUAGUAAUCGUAGAUCAGAAUGCUACGGUGAAUACGUUCCCGGG
rnacentral:rRNA from 1 species